CAAGCGAAUUCGGCAGGAAGAGACCAGCACCAUGGGCACUGGGCUCCGAGCAUAUUCGCACAUCUUCAAAACCAAGACCAGUGCUGCCCUGCUGAGCAUGCUCGUACAGGAGGGGUUUUGCAAUCCAAAGCAAGUGCCCGCCAUGGUGAGGUACAUCCACCAGUGGCUCAUGGCCAAUCAGUUUGUAGAGCACAGGCUGAACAGGACCCUGCUGUAUCUCACCAAAGCACAGCCAGCUGAUGUAGUCAUGACGCUCCUGCGUGUGGCCCCAUCCUGUGACAGAGCUGCUUUGACCAUGUGGAACAGCAUCAUGUGCUCGUCCAGGACUGCGGAGCCUGCGCUGCUGAUACUCCUGGAUGUGCUGAGGAGAUGGCCCGAGCACAGCACGUGCACCUCGGAUGGGGACAAAACG